CAAUUGCAACACGGGUUUUUGUACUCGCGAUCGAAAUUCACGCCAAGGCUCGCCAUGACUGCAAAAGCAUUGGAUAAUUGCAUGGCUUAACUGAAGUAUAUGUCGACGCUACAACGGAUUUAGGAUGUAUUUGUGUAGUAUAAAUCAUACUAGCCCUUAAACAGUGUUUUAAUGGACCUACGGGUGGA